GUGGUAGUAGCUCAGUGGUAGAGCCUCCCCUUCGUACACGGGAUGACCUGGGUUCGAUUCCCGGCUGCUUUC
rnacentral:tRNA from 1 species